UGCAGUCGAGCGGUAGCACAGGGGAGCUUGCUCCGGGUGACGAGCGGCGGACGGGUGAGUAAUGUCUGGGAAACUGCCUGAUGGAGGGGGAUAACUACUGGAAACGGUAGCUAAUACCGCAUAACGUCGCAAGACCAAAGAGGGGGACCUUCGGGCCUCUUGCCAUCAGAUGUGCCCAGAUGGGAUUAGCUAGUAGGUGGGGUAAUGGCUCACCUAGGCGACGAUCCCUAGCUGGUCUGAGAGGAUGACCAGCCACACUGGAACUGAGACACGGUCCAGACUCCUACGGGAGGCAGCAGUGGGGAAUAUUGCACAAUGGGCGCAAGCCUGAUGCAGCCAUGCCGCGUGUGUGAAGAAGGCCUUCGGGUUGUAAAGCACUUUCAGCGAGGAGGAAGGUGGUGAGCUUAAUACGCUCAUCAAUUGACGUUACUCGCAGAAGAAGCACCGGCUAACUCCGUGCCAGCAGCCGCGGUAAUACGGAGGGUGCAAGCGUUAAUCGGAAUUACUGGGCGUAAAGCGCACGCAGGCGGUUUGUUAAGUCAGAUGUGAAAUCCCCGGGCUCAACCUGGGAACUGCAUUUGAAACUGGCAAGCUAGAGUCUCGUAGAGGGGGGUAGAAUUUCCAGG
rnacentral:rRNA from 1 species